rnacentral:misc_RNA from 1 species
AACCAUAGAAACCUGCGGAGUACCUGCGGAAGGAUCAUCAUUGAAAACAAAUUUGGACAAGGGGAUUGUGAUUGACGGGGGGGAGGGGAAAGUUUUAUUUCCUGAGCCUUGAGAGAACAACCUCUUGGACAAAAACAACCAAUCUUCAUGACUAGGAAAAAACACAGUAAAGUAAACCAGUGGUUUGGGGGGGGGCAUAAACAACAAACAAGUUCUUGUCUGACAAGUAGUGUUUGGUGA